UCCCUCACAGAGCCUCACGGUGAGGUGCCGGUGUCGGCGGCGCUGCCGGGCGGCUCCCCCGGGGCGCUUCUGAGGCGGCGGGGGCUGAGGGCAACUGUAUAUGACUCAUAGAAAAGUCUACAGCAACUCCUGCCUGUGCUUAUUGAUGGACAGACCAACCAAUUAACAUCUGGUAAGUAGGAGAAGGGAAAAAGGGGAAUGCUUUGGUUGGCUUACUUGCUUUCUGUCAGAGCUGUCUUUUAAC